rnacentral:lncRNA from 1 species
UAUUGUUAGGUGACUAACAAUAAAUCAUAAAUGGUUUCAUUAUAAAUGUUCCAACAAUGUAAUCAAUAAUCUUGAUUUGUUUUUCGUUUUUUUUUUCACCUACAAAUAAUUGUUUUUUCAUAUAAAUUACAGUAUAAGACAUAUUAUGUUUGAAUUAUUAAAUGUAAAAAAUAAAUUACUUAAUUUCAUUAGCAUCUAUAUUUAACUACUUUUAAUUUUAAUUCGAGAUUUUUAAUAUUAUAUAGUAUAAAAGUAUUUAAACUUUUAUAAGCCAAAAUUGCUAUUGCAUAAAUUUAUUAACUUAUACUCUCUCCAUCUACAAAAAAUAGUGAUUUUUUUUGUUUUUUUGUCCAAUUUGGGAUGUCCAUAAAAAUUAUCAUGAUUGAUUCAAAAAAAAAUACAAUUAAUUAUUAUUAUAAACACAAUUUUUUAAGUGUGAACAUUUCUCUACUCACAAUACAAUAAUUUCUUUUAUUAAAACUCAUGUCGUUCCUUAUUAGGACUAUUUUUCAUGGACGGAGGGAGUAUAAUAAUAAUAAUGAUAAUAAUAAUAAUAAUAAUAAUAAUAAUAAUAAUAAUAAUAAUAAUAAUAAAUGAUAAAAAUAUAAUUAUACUACCGAAAUGAUAAAUUUUUGUAAAAUUAAAUAAUAUUUUAUAUAAAAAAAAUGAUACUAGUAUAUUACAAAUGACACUAUUAAUGCAUUCAAAUGAUAUUUUUUUAAUAAAAAACAAUGAUAUUUUGUCGAAUGGACCAGGAAGGAUAAGGGAAAAAAAAAUAAAGAACUCGGACCGGGCUAGGGGUGGCAAAUCGUGCGGGUCGGAUCGCUAUCGGGUCGACCUGAUAUCAACCCGACCUGAUAAGGCCAAACCCGAACCCGACCUGAUAAGGGAAUGCUAAAACCCAACCCGAACCCAACCUGAUACAGCUAAACCCGAACCCAACCCGAACCCAACCCGAACCCGAUAACAACCCGAACUCCUUCAGCAGCCGCGCCGAUUGGAACUCCGGGAGAGGGGCGGCGACUCGAAGAAGGGCUGCGCCGGCUGUGAGAGUCGACGUCGUUGCGUCGAGUGCGGGCGGCGGGGCGGGGCAGUGCGGCGGAGUGGAGGCUGGGAGUUGGAACUUGGAAGAAUGGAAAUUCAAAAUUGGAAGGGACGAGCGGCGGGGGAUGGGAUGAAUGAAAUGAAACCCUACUAACCUAAACUAAGAAAAUAAAAAUUUAAAAAUUAAAAUAAAUGUUUAAUAAAAAUAAUAAUAUUAUUAUCGGGUUACCUGAACCGAACCAGACCCAACCCGAACCCGACCCGAAAUUAUCAGGUCCUUAUCAGGUCGACCCGAUAAGGACCCGAACCUUAUCGUGCGUGUUACUAACCCAUUAAUUUCGUGCGGUUUCGUGUCGGGUUAUCGUGUCGUGUCGAAAAUUGCCAGCCCUA